AGCGAACGCUGGCGGCGUGCCUAACACAUGCAAGUCGAACGUGAAAGGGAGCAAUCCCACGUAAAGUGGCGUACGGGUGAGUAACACGUAGGUAAUCUACCCCAGAAUCUGGAAUAACCGGCCGAAAGGCUGGCUAAUACUGGAUAGAGCGACGGAAUCCGUAAUUGGGUUUUUCGGGAAAGGGAGCCUGUAAAAAGGCCUUCGUUCUGGGAUGAGCCUGCGUCCCAUCAGCUAGUUGGUGAGGUAAAAGCUUACCAAGGCAAUGACGGGUAGCUGGUCUGAGAGGACGAUCAGCCACACUGGAACGGAAACACGGUCCAGAAUCCUACAGGAGGCAGCAGGGGGGAAUCUUGCGCAAUGGGCGAAAGUCGGGCGCAGCAAAGACGCGUGGGGGAAGAAGGCCUUCGGGUUGGAAAGCUCUGUCGAGUGGGACGAAAAUGCUUGGAGUUAACAGCUCCAGGAACUGACGGUACCACUAAAAGAAGCACCGGCUAACUCCGUG
rnacentral:rRNA from 1 species